CCAUGGGGAUAUAGAUACGGAGAUUUACAUGUAAGCUCCCAAAGAAUUACAUGGACUGGUUCAAAUAGUUCCAAAACCAUGGAACACCCUCUUAACUUGUUUGAGGCAUUCACUUACAAUUCGACAGAUGUGGUAUACCCAUCUAAGUGAUUAUUUGAUCAGUCAGGGAUAUGAAUUAUGCCCUUACGUGUUAAACUAUGAAUUCUUAUUCCAAAUUGCUAGAGUUACAGUUUAUGUCAUUAACACGAAUCUCACUAAGACUCUGGAAGAGCUUGAGAAAACUGCCUCACACCUGAAGAUGGAAUUUAAAAUGAAGGAUCUUGGGAAAACUCAUUUAUGCCUUCACCCAAAGUUGAAGCAUUAUUCUGAUGGUAUUUUGGUCUACCAGUCGAACUACACCCCCCUCCGGGAAUAUGUCACUUUUGAGUUUACCUUUGAUCAUCCAUACGUUAUGUGCAAAUGAGACCCUGAAGAGGUUAUGGAAUCCGAAAUUUCAUAUCUAAAGUUCAACUUUGCGCUUCGUUGUACUUAGCUCAUUGUAUUUAGACAGGACAUCUCUUUCGCUGUUGAUCUUGGUAAAGAUGCAGCACCGCGCCUACACGCAUCCACUGAAUUGGUAUUAAAGACGUACCAUGAAGGUACUACGAGGGCAAAUCCCAAUGCAUCUCGAGCGGAUCCAACCCCCCUGAUCCUCGAAAUGAUGCUUGCCUUGUUUGUUAUGCUGACGCAGAUUACUUAUCAAACUCGCACAAGGCAAAAUCCCCAAAUGGUUAUGUCUUUGCCGUUAGGGAUAUCGCAAUAUCUUGGAGGUCCAUGAUAUGACCUUAGUUGUGAAAUCUUCGAAUCGUUCCAAAACUCACCUCACUUCACUACGCCACAAGUGAGACAUGGUUAGGAGUUCUUGUUGAGCAUAUUCGAAGUACUUGUUGUGUUUUCAUCCAUCGUUAAGUCCCUACGACAAUCCAUGAAGGUUAUGCUGCAUGUAUCUAUCCGACCAAGCCAUGAUACAUCAACAAAGUCAACACCAAGACAUAUUGCGUCUACAUUAGCAAAGCAUCAGAAGAUUGAAGUCAUGCAAGCCGAUCCAAAACAACCUUACCGACCUCUACACGACGUCACUGCCAAAGUCAACCUUCCAGAAGCUUGUCAAAGGAAUUGGUAUGCCUAACUAUUCAUCUGCAAAUGCUUGUAGUUCUCAUUUGGAAGUUAUGUCAAACUCAGGAGGAGUAUCCAGAAGCAUACUCACUUGAUCUUAAUGUACUCUUUUUCCCUACGAUUAGGAGCAUUUUUUCUACUGGGUUUUUGCUACCUAACUAGGUUUGAACGAGGCACAUAUCUUGGGCUGAUCAUACCCUUGUGAGCUUUUCUACUUGCGUCCAAAAGACGUAUAGUUUUGACUUAAUGCAACUUCUCACUUUUCUCCUUAGACUAUGGAUUUUUCUCCCACCUUGGGUUUUACCAUAGUGAGGUUUUAUGAGUUUUACUUUUUUUAUGCAUUCUUCCGUUGAUUUGAGACUCGCAUUCGUUUAUUGUGCUGACAACUUCAUCAACUGUAUUUGCUUCAUCACUGAAGACAUAAUGCGCCUUUUACUUGAGUAUUUACACACUCAAGGGGGAGUGUUGCAGUCCUAUUAGAUUAGGAAUGUGAUUGUGUAAAUCUUAGUAUAUCUUGGAAUAUCUCUUAUAUUCAUAUUAGGAGUAGAUUACCUAUUAAAUGUUGUAAUCCUAAAGGGAAAGGAAUUAACCUUCAUACUACUAUAAAUAAAGGCACAGUGGGGUGAAUCAAACAUAUCCACAAUUACACAUCUCUCUCUUCUUCUCUAUCUAUGUCGCACCCCUCUCUCUGGUCUCCUUAAUUGUUCAGUAAAUUAUGCCUACAACACUUUCUAUAUAUUUUCUCAAAAAAAAAAAAAAAAAAAAAACUUUCUAUAUAUAGAGAAUAC
rnacentral:lncRNA from 1 species